GGGCCUUAGCUCAGUGGUAGAACAUUGGCUUUGCAUGCAGAAGGUCACAGGUUCAAUUCCAAGCAUCUCCA